AAAGCUCAAAUUUGAAAUCUGGCGCCUUCGGUGUCCGAGUUGUAAUUUGAAGAUUGUAACCUUGGGGUUGGCUCUUGUCUAUGUUUCUUGGAACAGGACGUCACAGAGGGUGAGAAUCCCGUGCGAUGAGAUGCCCAAUUCUAUGUAAGGUGCUUUCGAAGAGUCGAGUUGUUUGGGAAUGCAGCUCUAAGUGGGUGGUAAAUUCCAUCUAAAGCUAAAUAUUGGCGAGAGACCGAUAGCGAACAAGUACAGUGAUGGAAAGAUGAAAAGAACUUUGAAAAGAGAGUGAAAAAGUACGUGAAAUUGUUGAAAGGGAAGGGUUUGAGAUCAGACUCGAUAUUUUGUGAGCCUUGCCUUCGUGGCGGGGUGACCCGCAGCUUAUCGGGCCAGCAUCGGUUUGGGCGGUAGGAUAAUGGCGUAGGAAUGUGACUUUACUUCGGUGAAGUGUUAUAGCCUGCGUUGAUGCUGCCUGCCUAGACCGAGGACUGCGAUUUUAUCAAGGAUGCUGGCAUAAUGAUCCCAAACCGCCCGUCUUGAAACACGGACCA
rnacentral:rRNA from 1 species